rnacentral:ncRNA from 1 species
AAUCAGAUUAAUAUAGAUCCUCGUAUAUAAUUGGGAAUAUGGCCCAGAAGUUUCUACCCGAUGACCGUAAAUCGUUGGACUAUGAGGGAAAGUGUAUGUAUA